UACAGAGGUCUCAAGCGUUGUUCGGAUUCAUUGGGCGUAAAGGGUGCGUAGGCGGCUCGGUAAGUCGGGUGUGAAAUCUUGGAGCUUAACUCCGAAACUGCAUUCGAUACUGCCGUGCUUGAGGACUGGAGAGGAGACUGGAAUUUACGGUGUAGCGGUGAAAUGCGUAGAUAUCGUAAGGAAGACCAGUGGCGAAGGCGGGUCUCUGGACAGUUCCUGACGCUGAGACGCGAAAGCGUGGGGAGCGAACAGG
rnacentral:rRNA from 1 species